CGAAUGGUCUCGUUGGUGACCAGCGGAGGGUCAUUACCGAGUUUACAACUCCCAAACCCCUGUGAACAUACCUAUAGGUUGCCUCGGCGGAUCACCCCGCGCCCCGUAAAACGGGACGGCCCGCCCGAGGACCCCUAAACUCGGUUUUUAGUGGAACUUCUGAGUAAAACAAACAAAUAAUUCAAAAUUUUCAACAACGGAUCUCUGGGUUCGGGCAUCGAUGAAAAACGCACCAAAAGGCGAUAAGUAAGGUGAAUUGCAAAAUUCAGGGAAUCAUCGAAUCUUUGAACGCACAUUGCGCCCGCCAGUAUUCGGGCGGGCAGGCCGGUUCAAGCGUCAUUUCAACCCUCAGGCUCAGCUUGUUGUGGGGACUCGCGGUAACCCGCGUUCCCCAAAUCGAUUGGCGGUCACGUCGAGCUUCCAUAGCGUAUUAAUCAUACACCUCGUUACUGGUAAUCGUCGCGGCCACGCCGUAAAACCCCAACUUCUGAAUGUUGACCUCGGAGCAGGUAGGAAUACCCGCUGAACUUAA
rnacentral:rRNA from 1 species